CACGUAGUUGGCCGGUCCUUCUUCUACGGGUACCGUCACUUGCGCUUCGUCCCUGCUGAAAGAGGUUUACAACCCGAAGGCCGUCAUCCCUCACGCGGCGUCGCUGCAUCAGGCUUGCGCCCAUUGUGCAAUAUUCCCCACUGCUGCCUCCCGUAGGAGUCUGGGCCGUAUCUCAGUCCCAGUGUGGCCGGUCACCCUCUCAGGCCGGCUACCCGUCGUCGCCUUGGUAGGCCAUCACCCCACCAACAAGCUGAUAGGCCGCGGGCCCAUCCCACACCGCAAAACGCUUUCCCCACAAACCAUGCAGUCCAUGAGGUAUAUCCGGUAUUAGACCCAGUUUCCCAGGCUUAUCCCAAAGUGCAGGGCAGAUCACCCACGUGUUACUCACCCGUUCGCCACUCGACGUACCCCCGAAAGGGCCUUCCGUUCGACUUGCAUGUGUUAAGCACGCCGCCAGCGUCGUCCUGAGCCAGGAGUCAAACUACU
rnacentral:rRNA from 1 species